CGUGCCACAGGCUACAACAACAACAACAACGAAAAGCAGAGGCCUCUCCAGGUCAGUCUGUACGUGACGCCUCCCUCACAUCUGGAAACCGCAUUCGACGCAGCAGCAAGCUCCCGUAAACUCCUGUCUCUUCCCCGAGAUGCGAACACUUUGGCCCCGCGGAGCCGGCAUUUCUGAAUGUGACGACGAUUCAAAAGGAAACGACAUCGCUGCUGAAACACUUAAGAGAGAAUUUCCAAGGGUGCUUCCAGCGAUGGAGGAGGUGGAACUAUUAUGUCUAUUCUGGAAGUGAUCGCAGUGAAGUAUCUGAAAGGUUGUGAAAUUAACUUUUUGUGCUUACAGCACUAAUUUUUGGACAGUCGUCGUAUUCACGGGGAAUUGAAGUCACCAGAAAUAAUUUUUGACCUUGA